AACGAACGCUGGCGGCAUGCCUAACACAUGCAAGUCGAACGCGUGUAGCAAUACACGAGUGGCGGACGGGUGAGUAACGCGUGGGAACCUGCCCAAUGGUAGGGAAUAACUGCGGGAAACUGCAGCUAAUACCCUAUGCUCCCUACGGGGGAAAGAUUUAUCGCCAUUGGAGGGGCCCGCGUCGGAUUAGCUAGUUGGCGGGGUAACGGCCCACCAAGGCUACGAUCCGUAGCUGGUCUGAGAGGAUGAUCAGCCACACUGGGACUGAGAUACGGCCCAGACUCCUACGGGAGGCAGCAGUGGGGAAUAUUGGACAAUGGGGGAAACCCUGAUCCAGCAAUGCCGCGUGAGUGAAGAAGGCCUUAGGGUUGUAAAGCUCUUUCGGCGGGACGAUGGUGACGGUACCCGCAGAAGAAGCCCCGGCUAACUUCGUGCCAGCAGCCGCGGU
rnacentral:rRNA from 1 species